rnacentral:tRNA from 1 species
GCGGUUGUGGCGGAAUUGGCAGACGCGCACGGUUCAGGUUCCUGUGUCAGCAAUGACGUGGAGGUUCGAGUCCUCUCGACCGCACCA